rnacentral:misc_RNA from 1 species
GAUUUUUUUCUUAGUGUAUACGAGUCUUUAAAAAGAAAGGAGCAAUAUCAAUCCUCUUGAUAAAAAAAGAGAUUGGUUAUUGCUCCUUUAAUACUAAUUAAUAUUAAUUAAUACUAAUUGAAUAGUAAUUUUGCUUACAUAAGCAUAAGUUUUUUUUUACUUCAAUUUCAUAAAAAAAUCUUAUGAAUUUAUGAUUAUGUAUUCUUUUUUACGUUUUUUAAUUUGAAUUAUAAUAUCUAGGCUCUGAACAAUUCUUUUUAUUAAUAUUUAAUAUCUAAAUAUUUAAUAUCUAAAAAAGUAAAUCUUAGAGGG